rnacentral:rRNA from 1 species
UACAGAGGUCUCAAGCGUUGUUCGGAUUCAUUGGGCGUAAAGGGUGUGUAGGUGGCGCGCUAAGUUGGAUGUGAAAGCCUUGAGCUUAACUCAAGAAAUGCAUUCAGGACUGGGCGGCUAGAGGACCGGAGAGGAUAGUGGAAUUCCCAGUGUAGUGGUGAAAUACGUAGAGAUUGGGAAGAACACCAGUGGCGAAGGCGGCUAUCUGGACGGUUUCUGACACUAAGACUCGAAAGCGUGGGGAGCAAACAGG